AAUUUAUGAAACUCAGCCCCGGAUCCAGCCAAUCAUUUAGCUCCUCAUAACAAGUCUAACUGGCUCUGGAAAGCUGAAAGGGCUGCACUAGAACAACAAAAAUGAGAUAGUGCACACAGUAAUCUGCUUAUCUGGAAUCACUUUCCCUCACGAGGCCAGAGAAAAAUCACAGCUUCAUUGUCUGAGGGCAGGACAGGUGACCUGAGAAAAUGCAACUACACCUGGAGCAAGACCUUUUCUGGCUUGGCAAUUCCAAUCGGGCCAGCAUUAAAGGACCGAGCUACGCCUGGAAACCGAAAGGCAAUGACAGCAGCAAAACCUCAGUGCUGUUGCCUACGGUGACUAUGUGAGAAUGGAAACUGCUGUGGAAGCCAGGGUGUUAAAAUUGUUGUUCCCUUACUCAAAGAUAAUAUGGAUUAUCUAGUCUGAAAUGGAAAUCAAACUCUUAAGCUUGGUCCGGGUUUGCCAUGCCUUGUCAUUGUCCUCAGCUGUCCCUGGUCUGGAUGCCUAGCACCCAUCUUUGUGCCUGCCCUCUUUCACAGGAUAGCCAGAUGAAUCUUCCCAGCAUACUGAUUGCUCACAUUAUCCCCCUGUCCCCAGUCCAAAGCCUGCCACGGCUCCCUAAUAUUGAUCAAACCUAAAUUGUUCACAAGUGGUCUCGCCACAGCUACUUAGUGCUUUGGCGGUGUGUUCCAGCAGCAAGUGCCGGAGCCUGGGUGCCAGAUGCAGUGGGGAAAGACCUAUCCUAACUAAGCCUCAUCGCUUAAGUGGCUGUGUGAAUCUGAGCAAGUUAUGAAAUGUCUCUGCACUUGUUUCUUCAUUUGUGAAAAGAUAAUAACACCUACCUACAUAGAGAUUAAGGAUUAAAUGGGAUAAUGCUUACAAAGUGGUCAUAGUGGUUUCAAUAUGAAAAAGAGUAAUUAAGGUUGGUGGAGUGCUUACUGCAUUCCAGGCUCUGUUCCGAGUGCUGCACACAUACCCACGUUUACACAGGUAUUAUUAUCCUCAUCUUACAGAAGAGGAAAUUGAGGCAAGGGAAAGUGAAAUCACCGAAACCACAUGAUGACUCAGUAGAACCAGUGUCUGAACUCAGGCAGUCUGACUCCAGAGCCUGCACACUCGACUCCUUGCCCCUUCCCCUUCCCCUUCCCUCCAGCUGGCACAGCCCACAUGUCCCCCACCCUCACCCACCCCAUCAGUCCAGGCUCUGCUCCACAUUCCAGUCUCCCCUGAUGCGUGCCAUGCCACAUUCUCUCUCCAGCCUCACCUGAUGUCUUAAAAGCAGGUAUUGCAUCGUCUCUGUACUCAAGUAUACCAUCUCUCUACUCUUCGCUUUGCCUUCAAAGAUCUCAUCUAUCAGCUUGUAAUUGUUCUCCGGUUCUUUCUGUAAUCUAGUCCUAAAAACUACAUCAGAAAAGUAGACCACACCUCCAAUUCUGGGAUGCCCCCAAAAGAACAUAUUAUUUGCACCGACAGCCCAGCUGCCAUUACCAAGCCAGAUCUCCUGACUUCCAUUCACUUACCCAGCAAGCAUUUACCAAUCACCUGCCAUGUUCAUUUCAGUACAUGAAGAUUACAUGGGCCCUGUCCUCUAGGAGCUCACAGUCUGAUGAGGAGAUUGUGUUUAUGUUAUGUAGCCAAUUUUAACAAGUUGUGGUAAGUACAAAAGACAUGCUUUUAAUGACAUCUCCAUCUUUAGCUCCUCUUGCUCAGGAAUUUCCCACGUCUGUCCCUCACCAGGACUGUCACGCUGCCCCUUCAUUUUCAUCUCUGCUGCCACCCUGUGGUUGACUUGCUCCCUACCUUGUUCCUGAACUAGUGCAAUCACCUCCCAACUUCCCACUGCCUGCCUCAGUCUCCUGCCCCCCAAAACCAGCCCACCCCCUGCUGUAGAAUAACCCAUGUUGUCACUCUUAGGCAAAGCUGCCUGAGAAUAAACUCACCUUUUAAUCCUUGCUUCACUCCAUUUCCCUCCACACAUGUACACGUCCCCUGAUAUACCACAGCUAAGAGAGACUUCUUGCAUUUCUCCAAAAAUGAUUCACCUUCCUAUUUCCUAUCGUUCCCUUCGCCCACCCUGCACUCCCACUCUAUCAGCUCAUUGCUAGCUCUGAAACUCAGAUGCUCCUCCAAGGUUCAGGUCAAGUCACCUCCUCCACCAAACCUUCUCUCAUUGCCCACAGUGUGUGACAGUUCCGGUCUCUGAUUUGCUCCGGCCAUGAGGCAUUUGUAUCUUCUUUAGAGCACUUUAACUCUAUCUUGCAUUACAGCCAUUUGAGUGUUUUAUCUUAUGGUCUCUGUAUCUUUAGGAGAAUACUUCAUCUUUAUGAUCUUUGUUCAAUACGGCACCUAUGUUAUGCCUCAAGCAUAGCAUGUGCUGAAUAAAUAAUGAAUAUGUUCUUUAUUUUUUGUAUAUGAUGGAAACAUUGGUGAGGACCCAAGAAGAAACUCAAGUUUUUUCUUUUUCAUUAUUAUCACACAAUUUUUAAUCCCCAGGUAAUAUGCUAGGCAAUGAAGGUACAAAAAUAGCAAAGACACAAAGGUCUGCGCUAAAUAAACAUAUAUGCUCUACCAGGGAGACUGACACAUAAUACAAAUAAAAUAAGAUACAAGCAAAAUAAUAUAAAUUGCAAAAUUAUGGAAGUUCUACCACCAACCAGUUAUGUGAGCUUGGACAAAUUACUCACUCUAUAAGGUAAGUGUUGAUGAUUAUGAAAUUAAAAUUUAUAGACAGUCUGUGAAUUUGUGAUUCUAACCAUUGUGUGGCCUGCUCUGACAAUGGAUGGCCCUUCCAUUUUAGUAAGUGCCCAGAUAUCUGCAAAAAUUAUUAAUGCUCAUUAAUUCUAGGGAAAUUAAGUAUACAACAACCAAAGGAAGGUAAAAAUCCAGCAACUGAAACUGAUAAUUAGACAAUGAGAAAAAUCAAUCACAUGUGCUUCACCAGCACCACUAGAUAACUGUUUUUAACGGGUUGCCAGUCUGCUGUCUGCAGUCACGGGACAAGACUGCACACCAUCCUCAUGCCUAUAGCAGCAAACUGAGGGGAUGCAGCCAGGGUUACGGUUCUGAGGAGAUGGCUGGGGCUGGAUUAGCAGCAAGUUCAUUUGAAGGAUGAGUCUAAGAGAUGUUAAGUGAUGCACAAGGAUACACAGCUGGUUAAUGACAAAGCUGGGAUGAGAAAUUCCCCAAUGCCGUGAAAUGGAGGGUACGUGUAUCUGGGCUGCCCUUCCAGAGCGUGCGUGAAUGAUGCUGUGAGAUGCUGCUCCUCCGUCAAACCCCCAAAUGGAAAUUAGAUUGCCCUCCAAGGUUCAUGAUUCAAACUAUUUAAAAUUAAUAACCAGAAUAGCCACGUGUUUUGUCGCCUUAAAGAAAGUUGCCUUGUAAUACCAUUGAAAACAUAUCAUUAAAAUAAGGACUCAAUACAAAGAGUGUUAUCACUCAUAUAAACAUAGGAAAGAAAGGCCAUAGAGGCAAAUGUAGGCAGUGCUCACCCCAGAUCUUUCCAUGUGAAAAGAGUCUUGGCCAGCAGAUUUUGAGUCUGACAUUUCUCUUCCAAGGCUAUUCCAAGGACAGAGGCGAAUGUCCUACUUGACCCCAGCCUAAGACACAUAGCUCUGACUCUGUGCUCAUCAAGCCUGGUUAUUGAUUGAUUUGCUAUAGGUUUGUCAGUUGGAAUAGAAUAUGAUGGUCAAGCUGACGAGUAUUUUGGUUUUUGAGACAGUUGUCUUUGUCGUCACAAAUUACCC